UAUCUUUCAAACGAAAUUCUCUUCGCUUAUUAAUAAAGCAAAUAAAUAGAAGCGAAUCUUAUAUACAAUGAAGUUACUGAUUGAAGUUCUAUAUUGAAUAAAUAAUAUUAUUUUAUACGACUAUUGAAACGUAUAACAAGAAUGUGUGCGCCAAAAUUUAUCAGUGAAAAGAAAAUGGAUUUGGACGAUAUUCCCGGAAAAUUCGGAAUAUUUCAAAGUUAUCAUUUACAAAUGAUGAUUUUAACAUUUUUCGCUUUUAUUACAAAUGCUUUGUACAGCGCGAAUUUUGUCUUUGUUGCUAAGGAAGUCAAUUACAGAUGCAAAGACGAUUUGGAUAAUUCACAUUCCUGUUCUGCUAAUUCGACGCAACUCUGUUCGGAGUGGUUGUACGAUGAUACGGACAGCUUUGUAGUUUAUUUUCAUCUAGCUUGUCAAGACUGGAAGAGAACGUUGGUCGGAACAGUGCACAGUUUUGGGUAUAUGUGCGGUCUACUUCUCGCUGGACCCAUGUCCGAUAG